AACGAACGCUGGCGGCAUGCCUAACACAUGCAAGUCGAACGAGACCUUCGGGUCUAGUGGCGCACGGGUGCGUAACGCGUGGGAAUCUGCCCUUAGGUUCGGAAUAACUUCGGGAAACUGAAGCUAAUACCGGAUGAUGACGUAAGUCCAAAGAUUUAUCGCCUAAGGAUGAGCCCGCGUUGGAUUAGCUAGUUGGUGGGUAAAGCCUACCAAGGCGACGAUCCAUAGCUGGUCUGAGAGGAUGAUCAGCCACACUGGGACUGAGACACGGCCCAGACUCCUACGGGAGGCAGCAGUGGGAAUAUUGGACAAUGGGCGAAAGCCUGAUCCAGCAAUGCCGCGUGAGUGAUG
rnacentral:rRNA from 1 species